GCCUCCGUAGCUCAGUUGGAUAGAGCAACUGCCUUCUAAGCAGUCGGUCGUGCGUUCGAAUCGCGCCGGAGGUA
rnacentral:tRNA from 1 species